AGAUAUGAUCCAGAGUACCACGGGACACGUGAAACCCUGUGGGAAGCAGGAGGGACCACCCUCCAAGGCUAAAUACUACCUAGUGACCGAUAGCGUAUAGUACCGUGAGGGAAAGGUGAAAAGAACCCCGGGAGGGGAGUGAAAUAGAACCUGAAACCCUGCACUUACAAGCUGUGGAAGCACAUUUCUUGUGUGACCGCGUACUUUUUGUAGAACGGGCCAACGAGUUACGUUAAGUAG
rnacentral:rRNA from 1 species